rnacentral:rRNA from 1 species
CCUACGGGGAGCAGCAGUGGGGAAUAUUGCACAAUGGGGGAAACCCUGAUGCAGCGACGCCGCGUGAGUGAAGAAGUAUUUCGGUACGUAAAGCUCUAUCAGCAGGGAAGAAAAUGACGGUACCUGACUAAGAAGCCCCGGCUAACUACGUGCCAGCAGCCGCGGUAAUACGUAGGGGGCAAGCGUUAUCCGGAUUUACUGGGUGUAAAGGGAGCGUAGACGGCAGCGCAAGUCUGGAGUGAAAUCCCAUGGCUUAACCAUGGAACUGCUUUGGAAACUGUGCAGCUAGAGUGCAGGAGAGGUAAGCGGAAUUCCUAGUGUAGCGGUGAAAUGCGUAGAUAUUAGGAGGAACACCAGUGGCGAAGGCGACUUACUGGACUGUAACUGACGUUGAGGCUCGAAAGCGUGGGGAGCAAACAGGAUUAGAUACCCGUGUAGUC